AUACGUAGGGGGCGAGCGUUGUCCGGAAUGAUUGGGCGUAAAGGGCGCGUAGGCGGCCCGGUAAGUCUGGAGUGAAAGUCCUGUUUUUAAGAUGGGAAUUGCUUUGGAUACUGUCGGGCUUGAGUGCAGGAGAGGUAAGUGGAAUUCCCAGUGUAGCGGUGAAAUGCGUAGAGAUUGGGAGGAACACCAGUGGCGAAGGCGACUUACUGGACGGUAACGGACGCUGAGGCGCGAAAGUGUGGGGAGCAAACAGGAUUAGAUACCCUGGUAGUCCACACUGUAAACGAUGGAUGCUAGGGGUAGGGGGUGUCGACCCCUUCGGUGCCGCAGUCAACACAAUAAGCAUUCCGCCUGGGGAGUACGGCCGCAAGGUUGAAACUCAAAUGAAUUGACGGGG
rnacentral:rRNA from 1 species